AUGAACGCUGGCGGCGUGCCUCAUCCAUGCAAGUCGAGCGCACAGACGAGGAGCUUGCUCCUCUGACGUUAGCGGCGGACGGGUGAGUAACACGUGGAUAACCUACCUAUAAGACUGGGAUAACUUCGGGAAACCGGAGCUAAUACCGGAUAAUAUAUUGAACCGCAUGGUUCAAUAGUGAAAGACGGUUUUGCUGUCACUUAUAGAUGGAUCCGCGCCGCAUUAGCUAGUUGGUAAGGUAACGGCUUACCAAGGCAACGAUGCGUAGCCGACCUGAGAGGGUGAUCGGCCACACUGGAACUGAGACACGGUCCAGACUCCUACGGGAGGCAGCAGUAGGGAAUCUUCCGCAAUGGGCGAAAGCCUGACGGAGCAACGCCGCGUGAGUGAUGAAGGUCUUCGGAUCGUAAAACUCUGUUAUUAGGGAAGAACAAAUGUGUAAGUAACUAUGCACGUCUUGACGGUACCUAGUCAGAAAGCCACGGCUAACUACGUG
rnacentral:rRNA from 1 species